UCUACAUAUUGCAGAAGGGUCACCUGCGGG
rnacentral:piRNA from 1 species